GUUAUGUGGUUGUAUGUUUAUAUAGGACAGAUCUCAGAACAGGAGCUCAGGUUUAAACCCAAUCAGGGCAGUACAUUUGAGCUGGCAGCGUGCCGCGGGCCCACUGGGCCUGUGAUUGACAGGCGCUCCAGACUCACCUGAGCCUGUCCCCCAGGUGUGUUCAAACUGGGCUCCUGCACACAGUGUAGACCAGGUGCAUACCUCACAUCGCUGUACCCUGUGUGUUUGCGUCAGAAGUCAACGAGCAUGUGCUAAUCGUGCAGGUAUUUGCACAACUUUUUCCCCAAAGGGUAAAUAUCCUUGAGCUUUUCACUCAAGAGCUCUGCUGAAGAUUGAUCCAGCAGCAAACUGUUCUGGCUGCACAUUGGAAUUUUAGAUAUUUCUGGAGUAAAAACAACACGUCACAAAUGUCAAAGGCAACAGCUGAGUGAUAAGUUGGGCUUUUAAAAAAUUGUCUUUAAAACAUAUUGCCAGAGGGGUCAAAUAAUUUACCUUGCUAACAAUGCUUUUCAACUUGUUCCAAAGAUGUUCAGAUCAACUUUCUUGAUGUUUGUGCAGGAACCUGGCUUAUCCUGUCCUGUUUCAAGAGACAAUUUGAAGAACCUUUUCAGAAGGUUACAUGCCAAAUUCAUCAGGUCCUGAGAGAGUUUUGCCUCACAUUCCUUUAAAAGAGCCUCUGAACGGAAGGAGGGAGUUAAUAGCUCAGAUUCUCCGGAGCCCUUUCUUCUUCUUCAGAUGGGAUUAGUGAACUAUUUUAACAAAUAAGAUUGACAAACUUGCCACUCCUGCACAUCUCCAUACUGGGCUUUUAAGAUGUGUUUUGCCACCACCUGCAUCUCUUACAUUUCACCACUUUCAUCAGAGCUCGUCCAAGCCGAUGGUUCUUCCUGGCACAUGAUGAUUUGUUGUUCUUGAAAAGGUCAGGCUAAAAGAUGCAGAGCAAAGUAAGAUGAGGCUGUGAUUGUUGCCGCAUGCCAGAGGAGGUUAUGAACUGCGUACAGAUUCACCUGUCUGUUGUCAUGUGAGUGUUCCCGUGUGUUAUAUUACUGCUUCUCAAAAAACACACUGCCAGUGCAACAGAAACUGAUAGAACUUUUGAACUUUCCCUAAAAUCUGUUUGACAUAUUCAAAUACAUUUAGCUACAUUUUGACCCGAAGGAACCUGGGUCAAAUUGUACUUACUAUGCCGCAGUUCAGGCAUCUUUUUUUCUGCUUUCUCAUUUAUUAAGCAUUCAAUAUAGAUACAUAAAACAGAACUAUAAUACAUCUGAGGGAAAAAUAGAAAAACAGUUGAGGUAAUGUGGACAUAUAUACCUGCAUUCCUAUCGCUGUCAGAUUGGCAGUUAGAUGGAGUGGCAGUUGUAGUAUAUAAUUAUACAGGCGUGUAGUUACUAAAUAUAACUCGUGUGACGGCUUUCUGCAGGCGUUGUGUGAACAUAUGUGUUUUUAUUAUUGUACAUGUCUGUAUGUACGUUUAUGAUUGAUUUCAAAACGAAUUUCUUUGGUUUUGUCUUCAGAGCCAAGCAUUACAUGAUUGUAUUAAGAGUUUUGAGCAUUUUGUCUUAUACAAACGUUUCAUUUCCAUUUUACUGUAAUCGCAGACAUUGUACUAGAACAGCAACAUAGUCCUUUGGGACAGACAAUGCAUGUGGUCGAACAGGUUUAACUGUAUUAUCAGUUAUAUGUAAAUGUAAACAAAACGGAAUGUACGAAACAGUUAUCUGUAAUUUAUAAACAUCUGAUGUCAACGAGUUCAACUUUACCUACAGUAGCAGUAACAAAGAAGUACAGUGUGAUUCAAUUAGAGCAUUAUAAUUCUACACAGUCAAAAACUGAUCCAGGUAUACUUAACCUACCAAAAUCCAAAAUGCUUUGCAUUUUCAACAAAGAGACCAGAAGGACAGAGAUUGUUGACCUAAUAGACUUGUCUCCUUGGUCAGGGUGUAUACAGUAAAAAAUGUUUGGAUAAAUUCCCUGUCAUUUUCUCUUUAAAACACUUUUUCUCCGAUUGUCUGGUCACUCAGUUGAGUCAUAUCAUAUCUUGACUAAAAUAACAAUGCACAGUAUUUCUGUUAUAUAACUCAAAUAAAAAUGUUUGUAAUUCAAGCUGCACUUGG